GCGGUUGUAGCUCAGUUGGUAGAGCGCCACCUUCCCAAGGUGGAGGUCCCGGGUUCGAGCCCCGGUAGCCGCU
rfam:Micromonospora rhizosphaerae strain DSM 45431 genome assembly, contig: Ga0070624_12